UUGUCAAAGAACUUAUAGUGAUUUAGUGAAUACAAGACGCUCAACUGUGGGUGGAGGAAGCAAUCAAACAAGCCAAAGAAGAAGAGGAAGCAAUAACACACUAUCAAAGAAAAAUGAACAAUACAUAUUUAGAAUCUUUACCAAGCACAAAAUAGAAAUUAAAACUAUCUUUGCAAGUCAAAAACUUGAAAUUCAUUUCUUUAUCAAUCACCCAAAAAAGAAAAAAAAGAACCUAAAGUAAAUUAAAUUAAAUUAAAUUUGGGUAAUGCUUUUAAAAUUAAAUUUCUUAACGUCUGCUUUAGAGGAGUAUGAACGGGCUGUUAUUCUAGGCUAGAGAAGCCGAUGGGUAUGUAAGACAAUAAACAUACUAUGAGAGUGCCAGAAUCGAUGUUUAAGUUAAUGAUGGUGAAAGACCUUUUCAGAAAAGACUUUAAGCUGAGUAAUAGUAGCUAAAGUUAAGUAAGGAUGUCCUUGAAGUGGUAUAUACCUAGUUAUUUAUAUCUCGGGCUCCUUGGUAUCGUUAGACUAGGACUAAGACAUUCCUCCUAUGUGAUUUGACUAAGAUUGUUGACCUUUUUCCUAUGAGAUUGUCAAGCUCAUUUGUUAAUCCCAUUGCUUGACCUAUGACAGUCCUCCACUUCAUUUGUUGAUCCUACUGAUAAUGGUUGUUUAUAGUUUGACAUAUCGUGGGAGGCUUGAUCUUCUUGAGUAUAUAGAUAUAUAUUGGUUUGAUGUUUAUUCUCUUGAACCUUAAAUUUAUUUUCUUGAGUUGAUAUAAUACAACUUUAAGGUUAUAAUGAUAAAAACAAAAACACAUAUUCAAAUAAAAAAUGAAAAUUUAACUUAUUUAUUCGUGGAAAAAAUAUUUGGAUCCAAAUACAAAUUCAAGUUUGGACCAAUUUUUUACCACUAAUGUUUCUACCAAACAUGGAAAACAAAAAUAUUAAAAACUUAUCUGAACUAGUCCAAUAGCUUUGUACCUCAAUUAAAGUUUCAAUUAUAAUUUCAUUACAAUGAAGAAUAAGCAAGAAAAAUCAGGCAUGGAGCCUGGCGCAGGUCUGUACCCCAGCAACUAGAACUGGCCAUAUCAAACCAAAAAAAAGAGGACUCAAAGACAAUAUCCCUAAACCAUAACUAUUUCCCUAUAGUUAUAUUCAUAAAUAUAAUAUGCCAUAUGAUUUAAAUGAAAAAACAACCCAAGAGCACAAAAUUUGCAAAUUUUGUCACAAGAUGCAGGGGACAGUGCAAUAAUCUAAUGCUGUAAUGUAAGGCUCCCUCGACAGUCUGUCUGAGCAGUGACAAUGCACUAAAACUGUUGUAAUAACAUCCAAUAAGUAUAAUGAUAAGGGGAAUAACCCAGAGCACAAUCUAAACAGAUCACAAUCUAAACUUCAUGCUUCAUGGACAAUUUUCAAAGUUAACUUCAAUAAACGUAAAUUGGAUAUUUUUUUCUUCUUUUUUUUUAAAUCCAGAGCACAAUAUAAACAGAUCAUUCAAGAAAAAUACAGAAACCAUUUCCAAUUGAAAACUUCAACAACAGAUUUACAUGCAAUUGCAAAGCCAAAUAAAAGGAAAUAUGGAAAUAUAUAUUACCACUAAAGCUAGAUUUACAUGCAACAACAUAAGGAACUCUCUACUUCGGCAAGAUGGAGAAAGAAAAUGCAAGACCAUAGACAUGCAUAAACUGCCUCAGCAAAGAUCACAUGCAAGAAAGGGUUUAAAAUAAGAAGUAGAAGUAAAAGGGUACAAAGCAUAUUACCUCGAAAAUUUCUUCUUUUUAGAAACUAAAGAAACCUGCCAGACAAAAAAGAAUUAAGAAUUUGAUGCCGCAACAGAAAAGAUAAUAACAAAAAAGCUGUUCAUAGAAAUUUCGAGACUAGAAAAUAAUUUGCACGCGCGGAAUUUAAGCAAAGAAACAAUGAAACAUGCUGCCGAAACUGAUAAAAUGAAGAAAAGAAAUGGGUUUUUAUGUUCGUUUGUGAAAGUUACUGAUCCGCUUAAAUGUUCAGAUCAAAGAAAAUACAAAAAAUAGCUAUUUUUCCAUUGAAUUCAGAUCAAAGAUGAAGAGAAAAAACAAAGAAAAUAAUAUAUAUAUAUAGAUAGAUAGAUAGAGCAUAUAACCUGAAAAUAGCCAUCGAUAAAGUAAAGAAGCACUUGCCGAAACAGUUGGACCAGAGAUCUGAGACGGUGGAGCCGACGAAAGAUGCCAAGAUGAAAGUGAAUCGGGAGCGGAUGGAGGUGACUUUGCUGGCAGCUUCAGUUUGAUGUGUUUUGGGGCUUUUGGGUUGGGAGGGUAAAACAGGGUUGAAUAGCUAAAUGGUGAUCUGGGAAGGGAAUAGAAAUCCCCCAAAAAUCAACCAAUUUUUUGCAUACACCCGUAAUGGAAUAAACCCGUAAUAGGGCAUUCCAUUGAACCAAAC
rnacentral:lncRNA from 1 species